UACGGAGGGUGCGAGCGUUAAUCGGAAUUACUGGGCGUAAAGCGCACGUAGGCGGCUUCUUAAGUCAGGGGUGAAAUCCUGGAGCUCAACUCCAGAACUGCCUUUGAUACUGAGGAGCUUGAGUCCGGGAGAGGUGAGUGGAACUGCGAGUGUAGAGGUGAAAUUCGUAGAUAUUCGCAAGAACACCAGUGGCGAAGGCGGCUCACUGGCCCGGUACUGACGCUGAGGUGCGAAAGCGUGGGGAGCAAACAGG
rnacentral:rRNA from 1 species